rnacentral:rRNA from 1 species
UUCGUAGGUUUACUGGGGGAGGGAUCUUUACGCGUAUAAAUACCAGGUCCGUAGUCGAAUGUGCUAUAGGGUCAGUUUGGGGGGCGCUGAAUUUUUUAUUACCCUAGUCUUUAAAACAUUUGUUGUUUCCUGAGCGGGUUGGCCCGCCACCAGGACCUCAUCAUGAAUCUUUUUUAUGCAGAUGCAAUAAGCGUCAGUAUACCAGAUGAGAAUCAUUGACAAAUUUCAACAAGGGAUCUCUUGGUUCUGGCAUUGAUGAAGAACGCAGCGAAAUUUGAUAGAUAGUGUGAUUUGCAGAAUUCAGUGAAUCACACUUCGUUGAACACACAUUGCGCCCUUUGGUAUUCCAAAGGGCCAACAGGUUCGAGGGUCAAAGGUGCCAACGAUUUACAUUUGUUAUACGGCGUUUGAUGUCAUUGGCAUAAAAAGACUCGCCGAUGUGGUCUUGGCGGCGGGCGAACCCGCCCAGGAAACAACAAGUGCGCAAAAGACAAGGGUAAUAAAUAAUUCAGCCUCCGCAACAACUGGUCCCGAGAGCACAGCACGCGUACAGCCGUCACACCGAGGGGAAAGUCCAUCU